UCAACGUUGAUAUCGCGUCAUUUUCGUCUUUUUUUGGUUGAUGACCAAAAAUCAACUACAAAUCAACGUUGCCAUAGGUUGAAUCCUUAAACCUUGUUUCAACGUUGAAAGCAAGACGUUGAAUCAAUGUUGAAUUGUAGUUACUGUCUUCAACCAUACUAACUCUGCUAGCAAAUAGGCUGUUUGGCUGAGUGUUGAAACUGACGGCUGACUGAGACUCGCGCAAAAACAGCAUCUGACCCAUGUAUGGCAAAGCUUAAAAAAGGUAUUGUUUUCAGUGAGGUAGGCAUUCCUCUGUGGGCUUGACCAUGGUAUAUGAACAAUAUGUGCUUCUAAUUGCUAGGCUCUACUAAGGUUUUGAUGGUGCAAUAUGUAUUUCUAAAUGUAAAUUAUGUUGCAUAUAGUGUUUUCUGACCAAAAACCAAGAUGUAUUCCUUAUGCAUGCUGAUUUAUAAGCAUAUAUUUAAAACAAUCAAGCAAGUUUUACUUUGUAAGAAUUCGUGAAAUAAGCAAAAAAAAAGGAACAUUGCUUUCAUCUUUUAUCAACUUCAUAGCACAUGCGAAUACACUACCUUUGUAAAAAAAAAGGCCGCUUUUAAGAAUCAUAAAAAAACAACUGAAUCCCCAAAAUGUCCGGCCUGACCCCGCCCUUAUAGCGCGAGUCUCUCGAAAUUCGAUGUGACCGUUAAGCCAAACGCGACCGUUUCCAGCUGUGUAUAUUCAAAUCAUACUCACCAAAUGAACGAUACCUGUUUAACUACAAUUCUAUUAACCUGGUACAGUAAAACCUCUUCACAACAUUCGCUUAUGCUCAUUACUUAGAUGACUGAUGCGUGAUGACAGAAACUGCAGCUCCAAAACACUGAAGACUCUUCUCACCGAGCGCUAACGCGUAUACGUUACUGGAUCAUGUGGAAUGAGGACGAACUCACUUCCUCUGCUUGUAAAAGAGCUUUGGAAAUCACCAGCAGAAUGACUGGCCAAUUGGACAUGCUGGAUUGCCCCUGGGUUUGAGUGUGUGUGUG